rnacentral:rRNA from 1 species
UGCGUAGGCGGAAUAUUAAGUCAGUGGUGAAAUCCCAGAGCUCAACUCUGGAACUGCCAUUGAAACUGGUAUUCUUGAAUUUAGUUGAGGUAGGCGGAAUGUGUAAUGUAGCGGUGAAAUGCUUAGAUAUUACACAGAACACCGAUUGCGAAGGCAGCUUACUAAGCUAUGAUUGACGCUGAGGUACGAAAGCGUGGGGAGCGAACAGGAUUAGAUACCCUGGUAGUCC